rnacentral:misc_RNA from 1 species
ACACAUACAUGUAUAGACCCCACUCCUCUUCCUGAUAAAACAUUUAACCUGGAUUAGUGAAUCGAGGAGGAUCACCAUUCAGUAUCGCUGUCAGAAAUAAUUAUCGUAGGUUUAAAUGCUUGUCUAGCGAGUAACAGGAUUCAGAGAAAAAACAAAAACAAAUUUAAAGAAAAAGUAGGGAGAUCAAGUAGAAUCGGACCUAGUCCACCAAACGUUCCACCAUGGCGGUAAGACUAUCGCUGUCGUCUGCUCCUGAGAUGCAGACGAUAGGAAAUUCCAUCGAUCUUGUGAAUAAAAAGAAAUUUGUGUCGCCGAAGACUCUUCUGCGCAGACAGCGAAAGCGGUCAUUGUCUUCGUCGUCUUCUUCGUCGUCGUCUUCUUCUUCGUCGUCGUCUUCUUCUUCUUCGUCAUCAUCCUCUUCCAGCGAAUCGGAGAGUUCUGUGGACGCUGGGAUGGCCAAUGACGAAGUGGACAGUUCCAAUUCCUGUGAGUUGUGUUAUCUCCAGGAAGUUUUGGUUACCAUGGUAACCUUUGCUGCUUCACGGAAACAGCGUGAUGGAUACUACCAUGUGGUCAGCAGUGUCGGAGAGGGCGUUUCUGAAAUAAGUUUAACGAGGGCGAAUUGUUGUAUACUCGAAAACAUGAACCUCUCCAGCGGACGGGACCCGGCUUCCAGAGCUGUAUAAAAAUCGAAGGAGAAAACCCGGGAACAUAUGUUCGAUUUCAGCCGGAGACAAAAACCCUGACAGGCAUGGGAAUAAAAAAAGAGGAAUUACAGUUCUGUAAGUGUAUUUCUAUCCUGUAAUUGUCAGUUCAUUCUGACGACAUAUUCAUUGCAUUUCUUCCAUUAGUUUAUCAAUCAAAUCAAUCAAUCAAUUUGUUUUUAACGUAUUAAUUCUGAAGAAGAUGUUUUAAUGAUGUUACAGAUUUAUUCAAUUUCACGUUUUACAAGUGUAUAAUUUAUAUGAAUAAACGUCCUGUGGUGCGGUACAUCUGCACAAUAACCUGCCGCGCAGACGAUAAAGUCUAUGACGUAGUGGCGGAUCUCGACAACAGAGAAAUAAUGAUUCAGAUUCAACAGCCAAUAUCACCCGAAGAUCCAGACAAUCGUUUCUUUAUUUUUUAUGAACUUGAUGAUGAAAACAACGUAUACGAACUUUUCUUAUACGCAAAUCAGUGUGUUAAGUAUAGCCAUAACGAAAGGACGCUCAAAAUCAACGAACUCGGAAUGUCAAAACCCAAGUCCAAAAGAUCGUUCAUUAGGCCCAAGCCAAGUUUUCUAUUCGACGUUCCCGCAAUGGACACGAAAUCAGCAAAGCAAUGCUUACACCGAUUCAGAGAAAGAACCCUCUUCUUCUGUUGCUUGCAUUCUCAGCCAGAGGAGGUUGACAACGUGACCUCGUUGGAGUAUUUGCCUUGUAAUGAAUUUAGGCUAAAGAGCGAGAACUCGGUUAUUGAAGAAAUGGACGAAAUAAAUGGCAACGGGGAAAAUGCUGACCAAUGCACUAGCACAUUAUAAUUUGAAAAAUUAUGAAACAUAUAAAAGGAAAUGACUUUU